rnacentral:rRNA from 1 species
GACGAACGCUGGCGGCGUGCUUAACACAUGCAAGUCGAACGGAAAGGCCCUGCUUGCAGGGUACUCGAGUGGCGAACGGGUGAGUAACACGUGGGUGAUCUGCCCUGCACUUCGGGAUAAGCCUGGGAAACUGGGUCUAAUACCGGAUAGGAGCCAUUUUUAGUGUGAUGGUUGGAAAGUUUUUUCGGUGUAGGAUGAGCUCGCGGCCUAUCAGCUUGUUGGUGGGGUAAUGGCCUACCAAGGCGGCGACGGGUAGCCGGCCUGAGAGGGUGGACGGCAACAUUGGGACUGGGAUACGGCCCAGACUCCUACGGGAGGCAGCAGUGGGGAAUAUUGCACAAUGGGCGCAAGCCUGAUGCAGCGACGCCGCGUGGGGGAUGAGGGCCUUCGGGUUGUAAACUCCUUCGCUAGGGACGAAGCUUUUGUGACGGUACCUAGAUAAGAAGCACCGGCUAACUACGUG